CCAUUAGAUGUUCUGGGCCGCACGCGCGCUACACUGAUGCAUUCAACGAGUCUAAAACCUGGUCUGAUAGGGCUGGGUAAUCUUUUGAAAGUGCAUCGUGAUUGGGAUAGAUGAUUGCAAUUCUUCAUCUUCAACGAGGAAUGCCUAGUAAACGCAAGUCAUCAGCUUGCAUUGAUUACGUCCCUGCCCUUUGUACACACCGCCCGUCGCUCCUACCGAUUGAAUGAUCCGAUGAAUACCAUGGAUUGAGAGUACGAAUGGGUUCGCUCAUUUCUGCUGCUCGAGAAGUGGAGUAAAUCUUAUCAUUUAGAGGAAGGAGAAGUCGUAACA
rnacentral:rRNA from 1 species